ensembl:misc_RNA
UUGACAGCCCUGAAGACCAAACUCCUUUAUUUAUGCAUGAGCAGCAACAGUUCUGCCUUUCCCACACUGCCCUCCUGAUAUGCUUCACCCAUGACCUGAAGGAUCCCCCUUAAGGGUGACAGCUUAGUAGCCGUCAUACCCAUUCACUCCUCCAGUCCU